CCAGGAAUUCCCAUGAUUACAGGUGACAGAAGUCAACCAAGUGCCCUGGCAACAAGGCUGGCCAGUGAAUGUUUACAGGACCUCUGGCAGUCUGGGAAAAUCAAAAUGAUCCAAGAGGAAUAAAGGCCUUGAACUUUCUGUGAAUUUCGGUUUCUUUCCUCCCUCUCUUGGUAUCUCCAUAAUUCAUCUCUCUUAACCUUUCUUUUUUUCUAUUGUCAGAGUGAUUAAAAUUCUCAACUCGGUGCUCUGAAUCAAUAGAAAUUUUAAUUCUUUUGAAAGCCUGAUAGCAAAGUUUGCUUUCAUUGUCUCUCUGCCUCAUCACUGGGAUAGGAGGAGGAGGAAUUUGCUCUUACCCAAUAAAGUAUAUGGGUCCCAUCUGAUAGUGGCUUAAACCCCGGACUUUGCUGAAAGCUUCAGUUCCCCUCCUGCCCAGGCUGGUUCUUUGUGCAGGAGCAGCUGCUACUGCUUCUGGAGAUAGCUUGUUGCAGAGCUUGGCGUGCUCUGCUCUCCUCAUCCUUCUGUUGAUCUCCCCUUUGGCACCUUUGGCUGCACCACCUGCAGAAGCAGCUGGAGGAUGGGGGGCAUUGUCCUGUGCAGGAAGCAGAGAAAUCUUUCCUGCCCUUGGGACAAUGGAACCGGGAAGUGAAGGAUGAGUGCUGGUCCAGGAGGUAAAUGGAAGGAAGAGCAUGGCCAGAGGAGGGCCAGCCUGUGGAGGGCUCCUAAAGGGGAGGGAGUCUCAUAGAACACGGGCUUUGCAGAAGAACAGCAAGGGGAGCAGAUGCCACUGAAGGCAGCUUACAUGCAUAUGAGGGGAGCCACGCCAGGCAGGAGGGACUCAGCAACCGGCUAAAGAAGCUGUGUGUUGAUUCGAAGACCCUUGGAGCCAUUGGAGGUCUUAAAGGAGAGGAGGUGCCUGAUCAGAACUGGAGUAAGCGAGCACUCUAGCUGCAGUGUGAGGAAGUCUGAGGAGGGAUGGAUUGAAUGCUACUUGAAAGAGCAAAGACCUUGGGAAAUUCCCUUUUCUUCCUGAAGCUUUGCUUCCUGUUUGGGACACUGAGACAGUUGAAGAAAGAAUGUAUGUGACAAGUUCCUGGCCCAUGGGUGAACUUCAUGCCUUUUGUUUAAUCUUGCAUCUUUUAUUUUUUUCUAAGCUUCAUAGCCUUUUUUUCUCUUUUUCGUUAGGUGGCAAUGUGGGUGAUGGGUGUAGAUUGUGGAAGCCACUGAAUUUUGUGGCUUGUUCUUUGUCUGCUCAAAGGGUACAUUUGGGCACAUUUCAAAGGCCUGUGAGUGAUGGAGUCACCUAAAUUAGAACACUUUGCUUUUUCUAAUUUGCAAAUUACAGCAAAGACUAACUGAGCCAAACUGACACAGACACCUUGACCUACAUUAUAAGUAAUGAGCUCCUAAGCAAAGAAUUAAUGCAGACACUGUAUCAUGCAUGAAUAGACGGGCUCAUCUGAACAAACACAUUGUUUUCAAAGUCCCGGCUCUUUUAAGACUGUCAGCUUCCUGUUGAGUACUGGAUAGAACAAGGGAUUUUAAUUGCUCCAUUCCUUCCCUUGUCAUGAUUGUUUUUAUUACCAGGUUAGGUUGUUUUAAUUAUGCUCAUAAAUGGCAGAGAUGGGUCCCCAGUGCAGGGCAUUUGGCCUCGGAAUCUAGAUUUUGCUGUGCAACUUCAAUUUCACCAAUCAAGGCAUUCGCAGUGAGUCAAGGAGCAAAAACAAAGCUACGUUUUCACCUUCUCCUUGAUGUGACAAUAAUGACGUCUUCAUCCCAUCCUCUUUCAUAGAUCUCAGAGGCCGACAAAGUCCUUAGGAGCACAAGGAAGUCCCCCCCGCCAGGAGUUAGGGUUAGGGGAUUCCAGCCUCCUGUGUGUGAGCAGAGCUACAGUCCUGGAAGACAUUCUCCCUCUUCUCCUUGGACAAUAUCACCUCCUUUUGGAGCCUGUUACAGGCUGAAUAGUUUCCUACCCCAAAUUCCUAUUUUGACAUCCUACCCAGAGUCCAUCAAAAGGUGUCUGUAUUCUGAGGUGGCCCUUUAAAGAAGUAACUAAGGUCAACUGAGGUCAUUAGAGGCUUAAGGCAAUAUGACCAUUGUCCUUAUAAGAAAAGGAGAUCAGGAUGCACUCGAUACAGGUGGAGUGGUGACCCUUUGGAGACCAGGGAGGAGACCAGGGAGCAAGACCUCAAAGAAAUCAGACCUGUAGACUUCCCACCAAAUCUUGAUAUGGGUCUUUUGGCCUCUAGAACCAUCAAGAAAUAAAUUUCUGUUGUUUAUGUCA